UGCUACAUGUGUGACAACACGUGCUUGCUGCUUGAUAUCGAUGUCAACAGGUGCUUGCUGCUACAUGUGUGACAACAGGUGCUUGCUGCUUGAUAUCGAUGUCAACCGGUGCUUGCUGCUACAUGUGUGACAACAGGUGCUUGCUGCUACAUGUGUGACAACCGGUGUGCACAUCUGUAUGGGUAGUGUCUACAGGGCCAAUGUACACAAUGUCA